AUGAGGUUCUGGAUCUUACCGGUCGGAGACGCUCCGAUGGCGUUUCAUAGUCGCUGUCGACGAAACAGAAAUCCAGAAAUCAAUUUAGGUUUGUUUUUGUUUGAAAGCAAGGCAUGGGUCGGAAUUGUACCAAGCCAGUUUGCUGAUGGAUGCAGGGAUUUAGUAGAGGUAUAUGUUGCCGCAACUCUAGUGGUGUCUCGGCAUGGUUUCAAGGUCCAUUGA
rnacentral:lncRNA from 1 species